AGCAGCCGCGGUAAUUCCAGCUCCAAUAGCGUAUAUUAAAGUUGUUGCAGUUAAAAAAGCUCGUAGUUGAAUUUCGGGGGUCAGUAGGUUGGUCAUGCCUCUGGUAUGUACUGGUCUCACUGAUUCCUCCUUCCUGAUGAGCCAUAAUGCCAUUAAUUUGGUGUUGCGGGGAAUCUGGACUGUUACUUUGAAAAAAUUAGAGUGUUUAAAGCAGGCUAACGCUUGAAUACAUUAGCAUGGAAUAAUGAAAUAGGACGUUCGAUCUUAUUUUGUUGGUUUCUAAGAUUGACGUAAUGAUUAAUAGGGAUAGUUGGGGGCAUUAGUAUUCAAUUGUCAGAGGUGAAAUUCUUGGAUUUAUUGAAGACUAACUACUGCGAAAGCAUUUGCCAAGGAUGUUUUCAUUAAUCAAGAACGAAAGUUAGGGGAUCGAAGACGAUCAGAUACCGUCGUAGUCUUAACCAUAAACUAUGCCGACUAGGGAUCGGAUGAUGUUAAUUUUUAAUGA
rnacentral:rRNA from 1 species